rnacentral:rRNA from 1 species
GACGAACGCUGGCGGCGUGCUUAACACAUGCAAGUCGAACGGAAAGGCCCUGCUUUUGUGGGGUGCUCGAGUGGCGAACGGGGGAGUAACACGUGAGUAACCUGCCCUUGACUUUGGGAUAACUUCAGGAAACUGGGGCUAAUACCGGAUAGGAGCUCCUGCUGCAUGGUGGGGGUUGGAAAGUUUCGGCGGUUGGGGAUGGACUCGCGGCUUAUCAGCUUGUUGGUGGGGUAGUGGCUUACCAAGGCUUUGACGGGUAGCCGGCCUGAGAGGGUGACCGGCCACCUUGGGCCUGCGAGACGGCCCAGACUCCUACGGGAGGCAGCAGUGGGGAAUAUUGCACAGUGGGCGGAAGCCUGAUGCAGCAACGCCGCGUGCGGGAUGACGGCCUUCGGGUUGUAAACCGCUUUCGCCUGUGACGAAGCGUGAGUGACGGUAAUGGGUAAAGAAGCACCGGCUAACUACGUG